GGCCCAGCAGCAGGGGCUCCAGGUGAUCUGGGGCUCCACCUUCACCAUCAGCUGCUCCAUCCAACCACAGUACCCAGGAGGCUUCUUCCAGCUCACCUUCACCUCCUCCAACACCUCCUACAACUCCACCCAGCCGGCUGUCAAUCACUCUUCACACUUCCUGUUUCCUGCCGCAGAGCCCGCCCACCGGGGAAACUACAGUUGUGUUUAUCACCUCCAUGUCUUUGGACACAACUUCUCCUCAGAGAGCCGCCUGCUGUCUCUGUCUGUGUUCGAUCCAACAGGGGUGAUCAUCAGAGCGGUGGUCCUGCCGCUGUCUCUCCUGCUGCUGCAGGCUGCUCUGUGGUUCUACUGUAAGGCCAGCAGGAAGCAGACGGGCAGACCAGCAGACCGGGCGGAUAUUGAGUUGAGUGCAGUGGAGGGAUGAAGGCUGUCCACUGAACCUUCCUACUGUGAAGACAAGAUGUUUUUUUAUUAGCUUUUUUCAGAAAUGAUGGAUCUGAUCAUGUUCCCUCAGACAAUGGAACGAGGUUGCUUUUCCUUUUGUGGACCGAGGUGAAAAAAAGAGUGUUGUUUUUCCAUAUACUGAACCAUGGUGGAUGUCCUUUUUUUAAUCUCUCUUUUUGCACUUUGACUUUGUUUUCUUUUAUGUUUUUAAGUCAUACCAUGUCUGCUCAUUUAAUCAUAUUAUCAUCUGCUCCUGCUCUUGCUGACUGUGUUUAACUGAUCAGAUAUUUUUGUGAUUGUAAUCCAACUUUUUAGCUUUUGCAAAACUUAGCUGUUUCAGCACAAAGGUGAGGCAGGAUGUGGUUUGCAGCAGGUGUUGAACCGUAUGGAACCUCACCAGUUUGUAUUUCAUCCUGAGUGGUUGGAUCUGGGCCUGAAGAACUCACGUGCUGAUCUCACAUGGGCUGCAUGCAUGUGUUUUUUUUUUUUGACAAUGUUUUUUCCUUCUCUCUUCUCUUUCUAUUUUUUGACACCUGAGGCUGCAGUCAGUUUCCUUGGUCAUGAAACAGGUGCACAGCAUCAGAGGACGUGUCCAUGGAACCGGAGUGUAUUGGUAGAUCCUGUUUUCCAGUGGGUGGAGCUCGCUCUCACUCAGGGAACCCCCCGGAGCUCUUUGGGUGAUAAGCUUCUGAAAUCUGGAGAGAUUUGACCUCCGAGGUUGAUGUCAGCCAGACAUCAAAUUUAGGCUAAUAACAGAUUCUUAUGAGCAGCAAAACCUAAAAAACGCUCACCUCAAUUGACAGUAUUC